rnacentral:tRNA from 1 species
GCCGGCGUGGCGGAAUGGCAGACGCUGAGGACUUAAAAUCCUCUUCGGGGGAACCCGAGUGUGGGUUCGAAUCCCACCGCCGGUA